UCCUGGACUUUCCACAUGGUGGCUUCAGGC
rnacentral:piRNA from 1 species